rnacentral:lncRNA from 1 species
UAACUAUCACCAGAACCAUAAAAAAUAAAAAAAAAUGAUGAUAAUUUUGCGAAGACAAGAGAUGAAUGAUUUCCUACAAACCUACAAAGCAAAUACAAAAGAUGAAUAGGGGAGAUUUCCUGCAAGAAAAGACGAACGAACAGUGAAAAAUAUCAUACAUAAAUAAUGACGAUUCUUUGUGAUAAACAGUAAAGAUUCUCUAAAAAAAAU